ACUUUUAUAAAAGAAUAAAAGUUUACUAGAGUCUGCUCAAAACAUCGUAAUAGAAACAAAACCAGACAUACCGAAAACAUCUUCUGUUCCUUGAAUGAAUGACAGGGGUCGGGGAGAAGUUCCGGUUUACUCUGUACUCAGAGUCAGCAACUGAAAAGAUAACGGAUCUCUCAUUCAUAAAGCACGACUCCUGUGCCUAUGGAAAGCGGGUAAGCAAAGUUUCGAAGUUCUCCAAAGAAAAAGGAAAAAAUGGUUGAUGCUCAAAUUUAGGACUAGAAAGAAAUGAGAACAUCUGUGAUGUCGAUCAGUGAUGUGAAAAUAGUACAUGGAAAUCAAGCAAGUAAAAAUGAGAAGAUCUAUCAGAAUUGUUAACACAGUUACUUAUGCUAAAAUCACCUCCAUUGAUGAAAAACCUAAUCACUAAGGUCAUUCAACUUUCACUUUGUAAAACUGUACUCUAAACAAAGGACAUAUCCUAAGGAUGUGAAACAAAAAUAAUACAUCUUUUAAUAAACUUCAAGCCAUUUUUCUCCAAGUGUAAAACUUAAAUCAAAUUAAAACUAUUAAUACUUAAUUUCGUUUUUUCCAGAAUAUUAUAUGUGAUUUAAAGGCCACUGUACAGCUAUUUUCUGGCUCUGAAGGACCCUCACGAGAUAUCAAAUCUGUUGGCACCUUGAUCUUGGACUCCCUGGCCUCCAGAACUAUGAGCAAUAAAUUACUAAUUCUAAGGGAUUUUGUUAUAGCAGCUCAAAUGGACUAAGAUGAAUCGUCUAAAAUCUAAGCAUUUUUUUACUUGACUAAACACUUUCUAAAUUUUAUUGAAACACGUUAUUGUAAUUUAACAGUGUAUUUGGACAUUUUAAAAUAAGCAUGUUUAUGUUUGAUGUCGGAAUUCUCUGUUUCUGAAGUAGUGAAAGUUUUAGAAAGAAAUUCAAGGGAGAUAUUAGCAUAUGAUAGUCUUGUUUACUUCCAAUUAACACAGAAAUACUUUUUUUGUAACAAACACUAAAAAUAGUUAAACAUUAUUAAUCGUUUUUGCCAAUGUGUAUCUUUGUAAGCUGGGAGUUAAAACACAACAUGUGUUUCCCCACUCUUCUCUUUCAUAGUGUAACACUGUGAUUUUGUACUAUGAAAAUUUAUUAUAUUAAAGCCGACUUGCUUUUUAAAAGUAGAUUAUUAUCUUGAUCUUUUACAAGAUCUUUUACUAGACUGUAAGCAUCAUGUUCAUUUUAUUCACUAGCACAGGCCUGGCAUCUGGUACAGAGCACAGCAUAUACUAGCAAGCUCAGUAAGUACUUCUCACAUGAGCGAUUGUUUUGAUUUAUGAGGACAUGGUGAUGACUAUUUUCCUCUCCCUAUUCCUUCCUCAACUUCCUUCUUCUUGUGUGUCUUUCACUUUACACGCUUCCUGUUCUAUUGUUUUGGACAAUGUCUUGCUCUCUGUCCUUUUUUUCUGUCACUGAUGUGUCUUACUCUUUUUCUCUUUCAGAAUAGCUUUCUUUACCCAUCUUUGUGUUUCUUUUGUAAACUUACGUUCUCCUGUUCUCUCCUCUGUCAAAAACAUGAUAUGAAGUAAACAUUUUUUAUUUGUUGUAUUAUUAAAUGAGUUUCAUCUUUUACUAAUUAUUUAGAGAAUAAGGUAAUUACAAUAUGUUUAUAUAUUUUUUCCUCUUAAAAACAUAAAAACUAUGAUUCCUAUUGCAGUUUGGUGUUGAUUUUUAUUUUCUAUUGGAUUUUUUGUAUGUGUGUUUC
ensembl:lncRNA